rnacentral:rRNA from 1 species
CCUACGGGAGGCAGCAGUGGGGAAUAUUGCACAAUGGGCGGAAGCCUGAUGCAGCGACGCCGCGUGAGGGAUGACGGCCUUCGGGUUGUAAACCUCUUUCAGCAGGGAAGAAGCGCAAGUGACGGUACCUGCAGAANANGCACCGGCUANCUACGUGCCAGCAGCCGCGGUAAU